UCCCAAAGUGCUGGAUUAUAGGCAUGAGCCACUGUGCCUGGCCAACAGUGUCCUUCUUUAAAAUCCAAAUACUUUUUGUUGGGAUAAUCCACUAAAUCAUCCGUGGGAAUAAACGUCACCAGCAGUUAUCACAUGAGUGGUUAGAACAGGCGCCUGCUAAGGGUUUUACGUGUUGUAGCUAAUUUCAUCCUCACUACAUUCCCUUGGUAGGCUCUCUUAAGGCACUCAUGCCACAGAGGAGGAAACUGAGGUUUGAGGAUCUCAUGCAAGUUGACAUGGCUAGUAGGGGUAGGGCUGCUAUUUGGGUUCAGGGGCAACAGGACUGUUGGGGGAUCUGCAUGCUGGGACUGGAGGAGGAAGGGGGCGUGGGGCCUGACAGUGGGCACACAUGGAAAUGGGGCAGUGGGAUAAAGAACAAGACUGAUUGGCUGGGCAUGGUGGCUCAUGCCUAUAAUCCCAGCACUUUGGGAGUCCAAGGCAGGUGGAUCACCUGAGGUCAGGAGUUUGAGACCAGCCUGGCAAACACGGUGAACCCCCGUCUCUACUAAAGAUACAAAAAUUAGCCAGGUGUAGUGGUGGGCCCCUGUAAUCCCAGCUACUUGGGAGGCUGAGGCAGGAGAAUCGCUUGAACCUGGGAGGUGGAGACUGCAGUGAGCCGAGAUCAUGCCACUACACUCCAGCUUGGGUGACAGAGUGAGACUCCUUCUCAAAAUAGAAAAAUAAAAAAUAAAAAAGACUGAAAUUGGCCAACUGGAUUUACUCCAAGAUGGCAAGAAGCACAGGGAGUCACAGCAACGUGUGUGCCUCACUUCAGGGCUAACGGGACUUGGCCUCUUUGAGCUCCUGUUCCCUCGUGUGUAGAAUGGGGAUAAUUAUAACAGCUCCACCUUCCGAGGUGGUUGUGAGCAGCACGUGAGACGACCCCCAAAAACCUGUCAUCGUAAGGGCUCAAAAUGACGACACUUGGCAGGGGGAGUGGGAGGUAUAGAGGGUGAUGGAUUGUGGGAGCUCAUUUCAUUAUCCUGUCUGACUUUCUAUAUCUUUAAAAGUCUCCAUAAUAAUUUUAAAAUACAUUUGUUUACUCACAAAGGAAGGAAGGAUUAUCACUGGGUGUGAUCUCAGGGAGGCUGGUGGGAACAUGGUCAGAACUAAAAAUGUGGGAUUAUGUGGAACCUCACUAUCCAGUGGUAGCCACUAGCCACCUGUGGCUAUCGAGUUCUUGAAAUGUGGCUAAUCCUAACUGAGAUGCGGUGUGUUAUAUGCUUGCCUUUUUUUCUUCUUCUUCUUCAGAAACAGAGCUGGCUAGGUGCAGUGGAGAAUCACUUUAGCCCAGGAGUUCAAGACUAUCCUGGGCAACAAAGUGAGACCCAUCUCCACAAAAAAUUAGCUGGGAAUGGUGGCAUGGGCCUGUAGUAGUCCCAUCUACUCUGUAGGCUGAGGUGAGAGGAUUGUUUGAGCCAAGUAGUUUGAGGCUGCAGUGAGCUAUGAACGUACCACUGGACAUCCAGACUAGGUGACUGAGAGAGACCCUAUCUCUCUCUCUUUUUUUUUCUUUUGAGAUAAGGUCUCUCUCUGUCACCCAGGCUGGAAUACAGUGGCGUGAUCUCCACUCACUGCAACCUCCGCCUCACAGGCUCAAAUGAUCCUCCUACCUCAGCCUCCUGAGUAGCUGAGAUUACAGGUGUGCACCACCAUGCCUGGCUAAUUUUUGUCUGUUUGCUUGUUUGUUUUUUUGAGACGGAGUUUCCCUCUUUCGCCCAGGCUGGAGUGCAGUGGCACAAUCUUGGCUCACUACCACCUCCACCUCCGGGGUUGAAGGGAUUCUCCUGCCUCAGCCUCCCGAGUAGCUGGGAUUACAGGUGCCCGCCACCAUGUCCAGCUAAUUUUUGUAUUUUUAGUAGAGACAGAGUUUCACCAUGUUGGCUAGGCUGGUCUCCAACUCCUGACCUCAGGUGAUCCACCCGGCUCGGCCUCCCAAAGUGCUGGGAUUACAGGCGUGAGCCACUGCGCCCGGCCUCAAUUUUAUAUUGAUUACAUGUCAACAUGAUAACACUUUGGAUAUGUUGUGUUAAAUAAAAUAUAAUUAAUUUAACCUGCUUCAAAGAUAUUUGUACCCACAUGUCCACAGGAGGAUUACUCCCAAUAGCCAAAAUGUGGAAGCAACCCAAGUGUCCCUCAACGGGUGAAUGAAUAAACAUUCAAUAAAAAUGUGCUAUACACAUAUAAAGGAGUGUUAUUCAGCCUUAGAAAGGAAGGAAAUUCGGCCGGGCGUGGUGGCUCACACCUGUAAUCCCAGCACUUUGGGAGGCCGAGGUGGGUGGAUCACUUGAG
rnacentral:lncRNA from 10 species